rnacentral:lncRNA from 1 species
ACCCGCUCACUGGUGAGCUCCGCGAGAGUGUACUUCUCUCCGUCCCUGGAGCGCCACGGCGUGCUGGUGCAUAGUAAGCAUCUGUCCAUGUCUGUCCAGUUGAAUGUCUUGAGAGUCACUUGACCUUCUCAGCAGCUCUGGAGAACCCACAUUGACCAGAGACUUUGCAGUCAGCUCACCCCUCCAACUCCUCACCCUGGAGUCCCUGACCCCGGAAUUUCUGCAUCAGGCUGCUCAAACCUGAAUUUGACAAAAUUUCAAAGCACUGUUUCUUUACGUUGAUAAGACAACGGAUAAAGUGCCAUACUUGGAACCUAGAUCAUUCGAUGUUGCCUGUAGCUGAGUCCACUUCUGUCACUCACCCUGCAUUGCCCUGCUAGGAGCAAGGGAGAGAAAGCCAGCCAGAAGGCAUGGGCUCAAAUCUGGCUCCUCCUGUGGCCACUGUGAAAGCUGAUCAUACAACGGUCACUGUUGUCAUAGCCAAGCAGAGUUACGAGACCACGGGGAAAAGCACUUGGACCACAUAACAUUGCUCCAAGAGUAUAACUGUCUCCAACCCUGGCUGCUGGAACAAGUGUUGCAACCUGAAACCAGUUUGAUCUAAUAGCUACGGAAACAACCUGCGGAAAUCUAAGACUGGUUUCACCCACUCACCAGUCAGAGCUUGCCAGAUCCCCAGAACGUUGCUAGUGCUAAUGAACUUGCUUUCCUAACAAUCCGUAACAUUUCUCAUUUUUAUGAAACCUACAACCUUCUCUUUGCUCUUUGGACAUACUGAAGACCACCCAGUCUGUGUGUAUGCCCCAAACUGAAAUUCUUGCUUCCCAAAUAAAACAUUUUAAACUUAGAGAUUCGUCUGUAUAUUUUAUUUGACUUUGACAGCACCAGGGGCUCCGGCACAAAUCUCCUCCUUCCUUCAAGCCCUUUUCUGCACAGUCCCGUGGGUCUGCCCUGAAAGAAGUCUGAUGAUGACCCAAAGACACAAUGUCACUGGGAGGUAAAUUCAGGAUUGCUUGACCGAAUGGCCCGCCCGAGGUCAUGGAGGCUGCUGGAGGAACAUAAAAUGGUCUUCACCAAGUGAAGCAUCGUCGGUCUUGGCCUGUGUCUAGCUGGAGAAUGUUAAAAUUCUGGGGACACAACAGAAAAGGCACAGUUGUGGGGACCAGGCCAAUGUCAGCGUGAGAACUGGCUCCAUCCCCCUCCCGUGAACUAGCUCUGCGGCCAAGGCAGGUCUGCAUUUCCCGGUCUGUGACACAGAGUCAGUAACAUUGCCUACUUCCCGGGGCUAUUUCCAGAGAAGUGAGGGAAUGGAAUGGGUGUGGAACGCCUGCCAUCUGCAGAGCCCCGCAUGAAACGUCUCUGUCUUUCUGGCCAGCCCUGAGCCAGGGAAGGGACUGGAAGCGCAGCGGGUGGCUGAGGCGGGCUUUCGGCAGCUUUCCCCCAGCCUUGCCCCUCCCCGCCUGCUGAAACACAAUCUAUGGUUAUUGCCUUCCUGGAGAUGUUAGCCGCCCCCUCCAGAGGUGGUUCCAAAUCUAUUUCUCAUUUGGCUGACUUAGGAGAGGCUGCGAAUCGGUCGCUAUGGUUUCUUCAUUUUCUCCUGACAGCUUAGGAAUCAUUUUUCCAGUUAUUCCCAGGGGAGGAAAAAGAAGUGGAGGAAGCCAGUGUUUGGAAUGAGGGGAAGCUCAUGGAUCUGAAAUGCAAACUCUUCUGCAGGAGACCCGGCGCAGCUACAGGGACCCAUCACCUCCCUGCAGGACCCCCACCCAGCCCCCUCCAGCCAGCCCUGUGUGGCUGUGGCCCCGCUGCAGAAACACCUCUCACUUAACGUUCCAGCUUCUCUUCUAUUCGGCCAGGUCACAGCUGCUGACUUUGUGCCUGCUGUAGCAACCCCGAGCCCUCAAAUAAACCCUCCCUCCCAGGGCAGCCUCUCUAAGGGAGGAGACAGACGGUG